rnacentral:rRNA from 1 species
CUAAAACUUUCAACAACGGAUCUCUUGGUUCUGGCAUCGAUGAAGAACGCAGCGAAAUGCGAUAAGUAAUGUGAAUUGCAGAAUUCAGUGAAUCAUCGAAUCUUUGAACGCACAUUGCGCCCCUUGGUAUUCCGGGGGGCAUGCCUGUUCGAGCGUCAUCACAACCCUCAAGCUC